rnacentral:rRNA from 1 species
GACGAACGCUGGCGGCGUGCUUAACACAUGCAAGUCGAACGGAAAGGCCCUGCUUUUGUGCGGUGCUCGAGUGGCGAACGGGUGAGUAACACGUGAGUAACCUGUCCUUGACUUUGGGAUAACUUCAGGAAACUGGGUCUAAUACCGGAUAGGAGCUCCUGCUGCAUGGUGGGCGCGGGAAAGUUUCGGCGGUUGGGGAUGGACUCGCGGCUCAUCAGCUUGUUGGUGGGGUAGUGGCUUACCAAGGCUUUGAAGGGUAGCCGGGCUGGUAGGGUGACCGGCCACAUUGCGACUGGGCUGCGGCCCAGACUCCUACGGGAGGGAGCAGUGGGGAGUAUUGCACAAUGGGCGGAAGCCUGAUGCGGCAACGCCGCGUGCGGGAUGACGGCCUUCGGGUUGUAUACCGAUUUCGCCUGUGACGAAGCGUGAGUGACGGUAAUGGGUAAAGAAGCACCGGCUAACUACGUG